rnacentral:piRNA from 1 species
UAGAUGUGUCUUUGUUUUGAAAAUAUCCC